CAGAGAAAGAUGCACACUGAUAUGAUGCUGGAGGACGUUCCUUGUCUCAUCUGGCAAAAAUUGUGACCAUUAAAAGCAAGAAAUGAUGUCCAGGCACGUUAUUUUCCUGGUGGACCAAUGUAGCUCUAAGAAAAUAGAAAAUUUCUUCAGGUGUGAACCCUGGGCAUCCACAUGUGAAACCUGGUAAUGAGCAGAGACUUCACACUGGAGAAGAGCCCCCUGAAUGUAACAAAUAUGAGGAGAUUUCACAUAGAACCCAACUUUCGCGCCACAUGAGUGACCUCUCACAAGACAGAAACCCUAUGCUUGCAAUCAAUUUGGAAGAGCCUUCAGCCUUUAUUCAUCAUUGAAUUAACAUAGGCUAAUUUAUACUGGAGUGAAACCAUGUAGGUCUCACCAAUGUGGGAAGGCUUGCAGGCAAUGCUGUAACCUUAGAUGACAUGAGAAAACUGACCCUGAAGUGAACCCCUAUAU